rnacentral:rRNA from 1 species
GAGGUGGCAAGCGUUGUCCGGAAUUAUUGGGGCGUAAAGCGCGCGCAGGCGGUUCGUUUAAGUCUGAUGUGAAAGCCCACGGCUCAACCGUGGAGGGUCAUUGGAAACUGGAGAACUUGAGUACAGAAGAGGAAAGCGGAAUUCCACGUGUAGCGGUGAAAUGCGUAGAGAUGUGGAGGAACACCAGUGGCGAAGGCGGCUUUCUGGUCUGUAACUGACGCUGAGGCGCGAAAGCGUGGGGAGCAAACAGGAUUAGAUACCCUGGUAGUCCACGCCGUAAACGAUGAGUGCUAAGUGUUAGGGGGUUUCCGCCCCUUACGUGCUGCAGCUAACGCAUUAAGACACUCCGCCUGGGGAGUACGGCCGCAAAGGCUG